UACGUAGGUGGCGAGCGUUGUCCGGAUUUACUGGGCGUAAAGGGAGCGUAGGCGGAUUUUUAAGUGAGAUGUGAAAUACUCGGGCUCAACUUGAGUGCUGCAUUUCAAACUGGAAGUCUAGAGUGCAGGAGAGGAGAAUGGAAUUCCUAGUGUAGCGGUGAAAUGCGUAGAGAUUAGGAAGAACACCAGUGGCGAAGACGAUUCUCUGGACUGUAACUGACGCUGAGGCUCGAAAGCGUGGGGAGCAAACAGG
rnacentral:rRNA from 1 species